rnacentral:misc_RNA from 1 species
GAUGAAAAGAGCAAGAUAUAAUCACUCAGAAUUCUCAAACCUUAAUCCCAAUAUGUUUCUCGACUCACAACUCUACUACAAAGGACAGAAUAUUACAAUAUUUAUACUAGCUUAUACUGCAAGAGCAUUGCCCCCGCACCCCCAACGAGAUCAAUGGUUCACUUUUUAUCUCAAUUGGGUCACAGUGCGAAACUUUCUAGUCGAUUCACAAUUCGAAUCCAUGAAAAUA